CAGCACCCCGAGUGGUCGGGACGAUUAUUGGGCCUAAAGCAUCCGUAGCCGGUUUUACAAGUCCUCCGUUAAAUCCAACUGCUUAACAGAUGGGCCGCGGAGGAUACUAUAAGACUAGGAGGCAGGAGAGGCAAGCGGUACUCAGUGGGUAGGGGUAAAAUCCGUUGAUCCAUUGAAGACCACCAGUGGCGAAGGCGGCUUGCCAGAAUGCGCUCGACGGUGAGGGAUGAAAGCUGGGGGAGCAAACCGGAUUAGAUACCCGGGUAGUCCCAGCUGUAAACGAUGCAGACUCGGUGAUGGACUAGCUUCAUGCUAGUCCAGUGCCGCAGGGAAGCCGUUAAGUCUGCCGCCUGGUAGUACGGUCGCAAGACUG
rnacentral:rRNA from 1 species